GGAGAGGAGAGGGGUUAGCCGAAGGAGAGGAGGGACGGCGGAGGUGGGUUUGGGAUUGGGAUCGACGAGGUGCGGCGGCGGUAGAGGCAGCGGGUCGGACGGCCUAGGAGCGGCAGAGAGCAGGAGAGGGCAGCGACGACGAUGGGGAACGCGGCGGGGGUCGGAGGAGUGGGCCUGUGCCGCUGGUACUCGCGGUCGCUCUCGUCCUUCCGACCGCUGACCCGCGACGGCAUGUUCCCGGACCGCCGGUGGAGACGCUCACCCUGCUGAACACGCGCACGGUAGCGGCCCUCCUCGCAGCCGACGGCUCUUGUGCCGCCGUUAUCCUCCGCUGUACUUCUACCGUACACCUCCUACCGAGAGGCUCUACCGACGACGCCGUGGCAGCGGCAGCAAGAAAGGUACCUGUUGGUCUAUGAGUCCUCACCGGGCACGUUUGUUACAUGUCCUUCGUUCGGUUCGUCCACUGUGACCUAGUUCUUGGACAUUAAAAAUACUGAAAGUCAUAGGCAGUAGGCGACAACCCAAGUAGCUCUCUUAUGGCUUUCGCGAUGCCGAUACUUCUACUGUACAACUUCUUCGUGGUAGCCGCAGUCGAAGUGGGAAGAGGAGCCGUACCUCUUCUACAGUGAGGGUUCAGCACACCUCUCGCCCGACAGUGCGUCGACGUCGGAGGAGAGCGCGACGAGGGUCCUACUCCGACGGCGGAGUUAUGGGACGGAUCGGGGGCGAAGCAAUGCUCGUCGCUCGGGCCGAAACUGUAUCCCAAACCGCUCGCUCGAGUGACGGUUGGGGGAGUCUAGACCAGCUGAGCAGCGACGGGCGGCAGUCUAGGCACCACGCACCGUACAACUACGAUCUUUUACUACACCCAUGUUCUUUUACUACACUCUAUACGGUCCUAAUCCGCCUCUACUACUUUCUGAAACAUUUUUUCAGUCUAUACAAAACUCCAAAGGUAUCUCGGCCGGUUACUUUGUUGCGACCAAAUAUCUUGUGUAGCAAAGAAGUGUUAAACUGAUGAUACCAGUGGCUUAGGAACCUUGUCCAAAGUCGAUUCCCAACGUCUACAAAACAAACCGAACGUACUUAAUUUGGUACGAAGGUCAAAAUUUCAUGUGAACUCGGUGUCAACGAUUAUCAAGGUUCGACUACAAACUAGGGGAACGUACUUAACUUGUACGAUGAGACUUUAGUCUCUCGUCUGUUGACAUCCAAAUAAAAAACAAUUUCAUAUCAUCGAUGAUCGAUGAGAUAUACGUUACGCUCGUCUAACAUUUUAUACGUUUGGGGACUACAUAUGAUCCUUCACAAUCACAGAUCCUGGGCGGCCACUCGACUAGGUGGGAAAUCAAAAGGUGGAAAAUGAAAAUCGCAAAUGAAAAGAACAGGAAAGGAUACCUAAAAGUAAUAAAGAGAAGAAAUAUACAAGUUUAACAUUUCCUCCCUUUUACGUGUACAUACAGGAACUACAUCUAGAGACACUAAAUAUAUACACGAGUGCUCCUGUAAGGGUAACGUAGACUUAACUGUUCAACUUCUUAGACCAGUAAAACACGAACGGAUGUCUUGACUAUAAACAAUCGGUUUGUUUUUGCUGACUACCAACUAAUAGAGUUGGUGCUUGCUCGUAAAGACCUAACAUCUUGUUUCUCACAGGGCCCGUUUUCCUAGUUCAAGACCGCCCACCCGUAGCCCUCAGGUCGACCAACCGAAGUCAGAAACCCCACGACGGCCGAUCGCCGCGACGAAGACUCACAGAGGAGUAGAGUGAGGGCACCGUGGAAGCUGGCCCUUUCCGACGCAUGUUAUCUGGGUUUCACCAGCCUGGGAAGGGACCUGGGACGCGUUCGCCCUCGAUGUACGUGGCCCAACGGGAAAAAAACUUAUGGAGAGUAUCCAGUUAUCGAAGAGUACUACCUCGUGUUCCGGGACAACGUCAAUCGGGACCUUUACAAUCGAGACGAUCCUCGGUUGUAUUGUCUUCGUAUCUUCUACUACGGAUCUUGUAACUCCACUUCUUACCUUCUACUACGUGUCAGCAUGUACACGAAUGAACUACAACACGAUUCGGUAAAACACUCUUUAACUCUAACUCUUUACUACAAUACAAUAGCGAUACAGUAAGAUACUCCUGUCUCUUAACACAUGAAUAAAAAUAAACUACAAUACAGUAAAAUACCCUUAGACUCUCGAAUAAACCACUACACUUGAACAGGAUACAGUAAAACUCUCUUAUUCUCGAAUAAACUACAACAUGCGAAAAAGAUACAUUAAAACACUCUUGAACCCUCGAAUACACUUACAACACAUUACAAAAUACACAUGCGCAACUCUCUUAGGCUACCUAUAGGUAUGAACUAUCUAUAAGUGGCCCAAACCU
rnacentral:rRNA from 1 species